rnacentral:rRNA from 1 species
CACCGCGGUUAUACGAGAGGCCCGAGUUGACACAAGCCGGCGUAAAGAGUGGUUAAUAAUAGAUAACCUAAGGUCGAACAUCUUCAAGGCUGUCAUACGCGCCCGAAGACAGGAAGAUCCCCCACGAAAGUGACCUCAACAAUUAUGAACCCACGAAAGCUAGGGAA